rnacentral:rRNA from 1 species
CUACAGCCAUACCAUCCUGAAUGUGCCCGAUCUCAUCUGAUCUCAGAAGCUAAGCAGGGUCAGGCCUGGUUAAUACUUGGAUGGGAGAAAUUACAUCUCUACUUCUGGAAUAUUUUUUAUAAAAACAAAGGCUAGU